ACCGUGGGGCUAUUUAUAGAAGGUUUUUGUAGUUUUCCACUCAAUGUAAUACAUAUGCAAGUUAAUGCCAUAAAAAAAUUCCUCCAUGCAGGCAAUUUCAUCCUAAUGUUUGAUCAAAAAGUUCCCUUGUCUUCCACAUUGGAUUCUAAGAUUACAAGGCUACUGAGUUAAACAUUGAGAUUUGGAAUUGUCAACUGCAGAAUAGAUCUGUUGUUUAAUGCCGGUUAAUGAGUAAAAUUACUUAAUUUCAAUUUGUUGCAGGAUAUUCAGGGUGAUCCUCGCAAAUUAGGCACAAGUCAAUGCAUUCAAGAAAUUGCAGAAGAACAUGUUAAACAAGUCAUAAAAUAUGAAAAAAAGAAAAUGAAAUGACAUUUUACAUAUCAUCUUGUAAAUCUCAUACAUUAUUGUAUAUAGAAGUUUUAAAUUACUACUGAAUAUGAAAUAUAUUUUUAAUAAAAUUAAAUAUUGUAA